rnacentral:rRNA from 1 species
UCGUAGCUUUCGCUGGAGGAGGGGCUCGCGUCUGAUUAGCUAGUUGGAGGGGUAACGGCCCACCAAGGCGACGAUCAGUAGCCGGUCUGAGAGGAUGAACGGCCACAUUGGGACUGAGACACGGCCCAGACUCCUACGGGAGGCAGCAGUGGGGAAUCUUCCGCAAUGGACGAAAGUCUGACGGAGCAACGCCGCGUGAACGAUGACGGCCUUCGGGUUGUAAAGUUCUGUUAUACGGGACGAAUGGUACGACGGUCAAUACCCGUCGUAAGUGACGGUACCGUAAGAGAAAGCCACGGCUAACUACGUGCCAGCAGCCGCGGUAAUACGUAGGUGGCAAGCGUUGUCCGGAAUUAUUGGGCGUAAAGGGCGCGCAGGCGGCGUCGUAAGUCGGUCUUAAAAGUGCGGGGCUUAACCCCGUGAGGGGACCGAAACUGCGAUGCUAGAGUAUCGGAGAGGAAAGCGGAAUUCCUAGUGUAGCGGUGAAAUGCGUAGAUAUUAGGAGGAACACCAGUGGCGAAAGCGGCUUUCUGGACGACAACUGACGCUGAGGCGCGAAAGCCAGGGGAGCAAACGGGAUUAGAUACCC